UACGGAGGAUGCAAGCGUUAUCCGGAUUUAUUGGGUUUAAAGGGUGCGUAGGCGGAUAUGUAAGUCAGCGGUGAAACUCACAGGCUCAACCUGUGCCGUGCCGUUGAAACUGUGUAUCUGGAAUGCGGAUGCUGUGGGAGGAAUGUGUAGUGUAGCGGUGAAAUGCAUAGAUAUUACACAGAACACCGAUUGCGAAGGCAGCUUUCUAAGCUGGAUCUGACGCUGAGGCACGAAAGCGUGGGUAG
rnacentral:rRNA from 1 species